rnacentral:lncRNA from 1 species
UGAUAUAUAAUAAUAGUCUUUCAAUUCUAAAAUUUUACCUGAAAAUAAAUCAAGCAUACGAUUCCCACAGCUUCUGCGCUAAUGGACUCUCCACUUGUGCCAUAAAGCUCAAGGUCACCUCUUUUCGGACCUUUGAUAUUCUGUAGUUGCUAUAAUAAAUUAUAAAUAUAUGACCAUAGGUAAUAUCUAAUACCCAAGUAUUAG